CUUGGCAGCCAUGACAAUCGGCCCAUUCGAUUGUUACAGCUUCAUCAAGAACAAAGGAACUUGGCCGCCUCCAGGCACCACCAACAUCAGCGUCAAGGAGCUCACCUCCACAGUCCCAUUCCCUGCCGAGGCAAUAUCAGAGAACCGAGCGGACAUGACGCAAAUCUUGCGGUACGCUCAAACUUACCUGGCCUUGAUGGAGGAGCUCGUCCGAGCCAUCCCGGACGAGGUGUGCUGCAUCAUCUCGGACUAUCUCUUCGACUGGUGUCCAAAGCUGGCCGCGAAGCUGGGAGUUCUCGGGGUCGUGCUCAUUCCAGCAUCCGCCACUGUCACUUGGUGUGAGCUUAGUAUCGCUCGCCUUGCUGCUGCUGGAAUGGUGCCAUCGCAACCAGGUAAGCUCCAAGAGAACGAGCUAGCCUUUCUUUUCUUGCCUGUUCUUUGCUUAUAGGCGAGCUAGCCGACGAUGACGCCGCAGUGAUCCUCACAGAUCCUGAAAUACGAAGGUCGGAGAUACCGUGGCAUUUUUGCAACGACAAAGCUUACCAGGAUCACAUCGCCAAGUUUAACAGCCAAGCUCUCAAGGCUGCCGAUCUCGCCAUCGUGAACACCUGCAUGGAGCUCGAGGGCCAGAUCGUGAGUGCCAUAUCGCAGCAAAUGGAUGACAAGUUCUUACCAGUCGGUCCUCUCUUUCUUCUCAACGACGAGCCACACACUGUCGGAUUUGGCGUCUGCGAUACCGAUUGUCUCAAAUGGCUCGACGAGCAGCCGCCAUCUUCCGUGCUCUACAUCUCUUUCG
rnacentral:lncRNA from 1 species